UACCAGCUCUCCGAGUGGUAGGGAUGAUUAUUGGGCUUAAAGCGUCCGUAGCCGGCUUAGCAAGUCUCCUGUUAAAUUCAGCGACCUAAUCGUUGAGCCGCGGGAGAUACUACUAGGCUAGGAGGCGGGAGAGGUCGACGGUACUUCUGGGGUAGGGGUGAAAUCCUAUAAUCCCGGGAGGACCACCAGUGGCGAAGGCUGUCGACUAGAACGCGCUCGACGGUGAGGGACGAAAGCUGGGGGAGCGAACCGGAUUAGAUACCCGGGUAGUCCCAGCUGUAAACGAUGCGGGCUAGGUGUUGGGGUGGCUACGUGCCACUUCAGUGCCGCAGGGAAGCCAUUAAGCCCGCCGCCUGGGGAGUACGGCCGCAAGGCUGAAACUUAAGGAAUUGGCGGGGAGCACCACAAGGCGUGAAGCUUGCGGUUC
rnacentral:rRNA from 1 species